rnacentral:rRNA from 1 species
GAUGAACGCUGGCGGCGUGCCUGAUACAUGCAAGUCGAACGAACCGGUUAGAGGUGGAAGCGCUCGAAGGGGUGGAGCAUGAGAAACGGGGAAGCCCCGGAAAGCGUGGAAGCCCCCGUACCGGUUAGUGGCGAACGGGUGAGUAACACGUAGGUAAUCUGCCCCGAAGAGGGGAACAACUGUUCGAAAGGGCAGCUAAUUCCGCAGAGAUCCAGCCUUAGGCUGGAUGAAAGGGUCUUCGGACUCGCUUCGGGAUGAGCCUGCGGCCGAUUAGCUAGUUGGUGGGGUAAAGGCCUACCAAGGCGACGAUCGGUAGCUGGUCUGAGAGGAUGGUCAGCCACACUGGAACUGAGACACGGUCCAGACUCCUACGGGAGGCAGCAGUAAGGAAUAUUGCACAAUGGGGGAAACCCUGAUGCAGCAACGCCGCGUGAGCGAAGAAGGCCUUCGGGUUGUAAAGCUCUUUUCUAGGGGAUGAGGAAGGACAGUACCCUAGGAAUAAGUCUCGGCUAACUACGUGCCAGCAGCCGCGGUAAAACGUAGGAGGCGAGCGUUAUCCGGAUUUACUGGGCGUAAAGGGCAAGUAGGCGGUAGCCUAAGUUGGGCGUGAAAUCUCUCGGCUUAACUGAGAGGGGUCGCUCAAGACUGAGUUACUAGAGGGCAGGAGAGGGAAGCGGAACUCCUAGUGUAGCGGUGGAAUGCUCAGAUACUAGGAAGAACACCCGUGGCGAAGGCGGCUUCCUGGCCUGUACCUGACGCUGAGAGGCGAAAGCUAGGGGAGCAAACGGGCUUAGAUACCCCGGUAGUCCUAGCUGUAAACGGUGGAUACUAGGUAUUGGGGGUAUAGACCCCUCAAUGUCGAAGCAAACGCGUUAAGUAUCCCGCCUGGGGACACGGCCGCAAGGUU